AGUGAACGCUGGCGGCAGGCCUAACACAUGCAAGUCGAACGGCCGCACAGUAAGCUCUUGCUCUUACCGUUGGCGAGUGGCGGGCGGGUGAGGAGUACAUCGGAAUCUUCUUUUUCGUGGGGGAUAACGUAGGGACACUUACGCUACUACCGCAUACGAUCUACGGGAGAAAGCAGUGGAUAUUCGGACCUUGCGCGAUUGAAUGAGCCGAUGUCGGAUUAGCUAGUUGGCGGGGUAAAGGCCCACCAAGGCGACGAUCCGUAGCUGGUCUGAGAGGAUGAUCGGCCACACUGGAACUGAGACACGGUCCAGACUCCUACGGGAGGCAGCAGUGGGGAAUAUUGGGCAAUGGGCGCAAGCCUGACCCAGCCAUGCCGCGUGGGUGAAGAAGGCCUUCGGGUUGUAAAGCCCUUUUGUUGGGAAAGAAAAGCAGCAGAUGAAUACCUCGCUGUUCUGACGGUACCCAAAGAAUAAGCACCGGCUAACUUCGUG
rnacentral:rRNA from 1 species